rnacentral:sRNA from 1 species
UCCGUAGGUGAACCUGCGGUUGGAUCAUUAACAAAUAAUUUAGGCCCCUGGCUGCCUCAAAAGGGCGAAGGGGGAAAACCUAAACAUUUGUGUGGACCAUAUCUGUCCUUGGCAGUUCGAGUGUCCUGGGUCGCGUAACUGCCUCAGGUACCUACCAAGGCUUUCCUCUCGGGGUUUGCCAAAGUUGAGCUGCCGCUUCUAGAACAAACCUUUUGUAAAUUAUUUUUGCCUGAAUUUGUUUGAUCUUUAUGAUUGAAUUUAAAUACAGCUUUUGACAACGGAUCUCUUGGCUCUCGCAACGAUGAAGGACGCAGCGAAAAGCGAUAAGGAAUGUGAAUUGCAGAAUUCAGUGAAUCAUCGAAUCUUUGAACGCACAUUGCGCUCUUUGGUAUUCCGGAGAGCAUGCCUGUUUGAGAAUCAGUAAAUUCAUCAACCCAAAGUUUUCGGAAUUUAUUCUGAGGGCUGGAAGGUUCGAUUUGGGCUUUUUGCCGCCUUUGGGCAGCAACAGCCUGAAAUUGAAUGUUACGCUCCAUUGAACUGAAAAGUUUUGGGCAAACGCAUGAAUGAGGCAACUCAGCAGUACGCGAGCCUUUGAAACCGAUCAACUCUGUGGUUGGGUGACUCAACUGAUUAACCAGGGUUUGCUGGCGUGAGCCAGCUUAUUCUGAACACUUGGUCUCAAAUCAGGUAGGAAAACCCGCUGAACCUUAAGCAUAUCAAUAAGCGGAGGAAAAGAAACUAACAAGGAUUCCCCUAGUAACGGCGAGUGAAGCGGGAACAGCUCAAUUUGAAAUCUCACAGGGUUACCUGUGUGAAUUGUAGUUUAUAGAAACGUUUUCGGGGGUGGCUCUGGCAUAAGUUCUUUGGAAUAAGGCAUCAUAGAGGGUGAGAAUCCCGUUUCUGGUCAGGUGCCCGCUCCUAUGUGAUACGUUUUCUAAGAGUCGGUUUGUUUGGGAAUGCAGACCAAAAUGGGCGGUAAAUACCAGCUAAAGCUAAAUAUUGGGGAGAGAUUGAUAGCAAACAAGUACCGUGACGGAAAGAUGAAAAGAACUUUGAAAAGAGAGUUAAAAGUACGUGAAAUUGUCAAAAGGGAAACGCUUGAAGU